ensembl:lncRNA GUSBP11 GUSB pseudogene 11
ACAUCAGUGGCGAGGAGUGCGGAGAGUGGGUGAGGCUGGGGCAGGAAGCAGGCCAGCCUGCCAGAGCCCAGGAACAGGUGAAAGGAUCCACCUCUGAUGUUCAGUGAAGACUACCAGAAAAGUCUGCUAGAGCAGUACCAUCUGGGUCUGGAUCAAAAACUCAGAAAAUACGUGGUUGGAGAGCUCAUCUGGAAUUUUGCCGAUUUCAUGACUAACCAGUAGUGGGUGCAGUGGACCCCAUCAUGGAGAAGUUCAACACAUCCAGCCUACGACCAGCACCUGUGGGAGGUGGAUAUUCAAGGCAGCAGAGCCUACAGCCGGGGCAUGGAGAAGGCAGGGCUCCUCGCCAAGGCCGAGAUGGAUGGUUUUACGUUGAACUAAUUAUAUACUCAAGUGCUGUUUA